AGUCGACGAGAGUAGCAUACUCUAGUGGCAAACGGGUGAGUAAUGUAUAUUUAAUUUGCCGAGUAGUGGGGGACAACAACUGGAAACGGUUGCUAAUACCGCAUACACCAUUCGUGGAAAAGGUCGUAAGAUCGCUAUUUGAGAAACCUAUAUUCGAUUAGCUAGUUGGUGAGGUAAUGGCUCACCAAGGCUGUGAUCGAUAGCUGGUCUGAGAGGAUGAUCAGCCACACUGGAACUGAGACACGGUCCAGACCCCUACGGGGGGCAGCAGUGGGGAAUAUUGGGCAAUGGACGAAAGUCUGACCCAGCAACGCCGCGUGGAGGAUGAAGGCCUAAGGGUUGUAAACUUCUUUUGCCAGGGAGGAUAAUGACAGUACCUGGAGAAUAAGCAUCGGCUAACUUCGUGCCUGCAGCCGCGGCAAUACGAAGGAUGCAAGCGUUACUCGGAAUUAUUGGGCGUAAAGUAUGCGUAGGCGGACUUGCAAGUUGGCAGUGAAAUACCAGAGCUUAACUCUGGGACUGCUGCCAAAACUGUAGGUCUUGAAUGUGAAAGA
rnacentral:rRNA from 1 species